rnacentral:snRNA from 1 species
GGAUGUGAGGGAGGUCAUUCUUGCUGUGACAUCUCUCACCCCAUUAAUUGGCUGAUUCAACUGAUCUGGUUGGCAAGAUAGGUGCCCUCUUCCUCCCUCACCACUCCAUGUGCAUCCCUACCAAAGCUGCACACUUGGUGCGAGAGUACCCUCAGCCAAGGGCAUAUGAGUAGCUGAGCUUCCCUGCUAGGCCCUCCAAACAAGCUCUCAAAAAGAAGAGAAGUAAGGGAGGAGCUGAAGACAAGGACACACCCUUCCAGGUCAUGACCCCAGGG